rnacentral:rRNA from 1 species
UACCUGGUUGAUCCUGCCAGUAAUUAUACGCUCGACUCAAAGAUUAAGCCAUGCAUGUCUAAGUAUGAGCACAGUUUAGUGUGAAACCGCGAAUGGCUCAGUAAAUCGGUUGUGGUCUCUUGGAUCUGAAAGUUUCCUACUUGGAUAACCGUGGUAAUUCUAGAGCUAAUACAUGCUUAAACGAGCGUCGCCCUUGGGGGCGGCGCGCAUUCAUUAGAUCAAGACCAACGGGCCUUCGGGCCCCCGACUGGUGACUCUAGAUGACCGCGCAGAUCGCACGGCCUAGCGCCGGCGACGGUUCGAUCGAGUGUCUGAACUAUCAGCUUGACGGUAGGUUAAGAGCCUACCGUGGCUGUGACGGGUGACGGGGAAUCUGGGUUCGAUUCCGGAGAGGCAGCCUGAGAAACGGCUACCACAUCCAAGGAAGGCAGCAGGCGCGCAAAUUACCCAAUCCCGGCACGGGGAGGUAGUGACGAAAAAUAACGGUGCGGCGUUCGAAUGAACGUCCGUAAUCGGAAUGAGUCGGCUCUAAAUCCUUGAACGAGGAUCUAUUGGAGGACAAGUCUGGUGCCAGCACCCGCGGUAAUUCCAGCUCCAAUAGCGCAUAUUAAAGUUGUUGCGGUUAAAACGCUCGUAGUUCGAACUCGGUACUUUUUUGCGACGGUCCGCGCUCGAGUUUCGCGGUACUGUCGCAAACGGUACGGAACGAGCCCGGGUCGCCUGCCGAUCAUCUUCAUCGAUUGUCGGGGGUGGCGGGCAAGUUUACUUUGAGAAAAGCAGAGUGCUCAAAAGCCGGCAAUAACGUAAGUUAACGCUCGAAUGUUAAAGCAUGGAAUAAUCGAAUAGGACCUCGGCUCUCAAUUCUGUUGGUCUCAGGGGCCGAGGUAAUGAUAAACGGGAGUAGUGACGGGGGCAUUCGUACCGUGGCGCGAGAGGUGAAAUUCUUGGACCGUCACGGGACGCACCGAGGCGAAAGCGUUUGCCAAGAACGCUUCCAUCGAUCAAGAGCGAAAGCNAGAGGUUNGAAGGCGAUCAGAUANCGCCCUAGUUCUAGCCAUAAANGAUGCCGACCGCUGAUCUGCCGUGGUUACUAGUCCGACCCGGCGGGACGACCCCGGGAAACCAGAGUGUUCGGGUUCCGGGGGAAGUAUGGUCGCAAGGCUGGAACUUAAAGGCAUUGACGGAAAGGCACCACCAGGAGUGGGGCCUGCGGCUUAAUUUGACUCAACACGGGAAAUCCUACCAGGCCCGGACACCUUUAGGAUUGACAGACUGAGGGCUCUUUCUCGAUCAGGUGGAUGGUGGUGCAUGGCCGUUCUUAGUUCGUGGAGCGAUCUGUCUGGUUUAUUCCGAUAACGAACGAGGCUCCAACCUACUAACUAGGACGAUAUUCAUCCGAGGUGCAUUUAAGCGUCCGCCGUUCGGGCGUUUGUCGCCGGUUUGUCGGGGUGUAGUCGGCGUGGUCGGUGGUUCGCUGUCGGUCACGUUCGGUGGCGCUUCUUCGGCCGGCGGCGGGGUCGAGAUGGUGGGUUCCCUCGGACGUACUUCUUAGGGGGAAAAAACGGCGUUUAGCCGUAUGAAACGGAGCAAUAACAGGUCUGUGAUGCCCUCAGAUGUCCUGGGCUGCACGCGCGCCACAAUGGAGGUCUCAGCGCGUUUUCCCUGCUCGAAAGAGCCGGGUAAUCGCUGAAAGUCCGCUUCUUAGUCGGGAUAGAGGACUGAAACGUUCUCUUGCACAAGGAAUUCCUAGUAGGCGCCUCUCACUAAUCGGCGACGAUUGCGUCCCUGCCCUUUGUACACACCGCCCGUCGCUACUACCGAUUGAAUGGUCCAGUGAGGCCUUUGGACCGGCCGACGAUCCGAUGCGGCCCAAAAAGUCGUGUCGGUCGUCGGAUGGGAAUCUGUCCAAACUUGAUCGUUUAGAGGAAGUAAAAGUCGUAACAAGGUUUCCGUAGGUGAACCUGCGGAAGGAUCA